CUCCAAUCGUGAUGAGAAGCUUUUAUGAUAUAGGCACCAGGCAAAAGGUUGCUCUGCUGUUUCUUAUUAAAAAGCAACAAGCAGCUGUGUAUUGACUUAAAUGCCAUCCAAAACAAAAACUUAACAAGAUUGUAAUAUAAAUGUAUCCAAGAGUAUUGAAUCAUGAAAACAUUGGCAAAAAAUAGUUUUCAUGGGUCUUCCUCUGGCAAUUUAAUCUAGGCUCCAAGCGGCAGUCAGGUCGCCAUUAAAGUGACGCCUGCUGUUGACUCGUUUAAAAAUGGAGCACAUCUUUCUUUCAACACCAUACCAAUAAAACAUAUGC
rnacentral:lncRNA from 1 species